UUCCGUAGGUGAACCUGCGGAAGGAUCAUUACAAAAAUAAUAUCCAACUCAACCAAGCUUAUAGUUGUAGUAGUAGUUCGCUGCUGCUUCAACAACAUACAAAACUAAGUAUUUGCAUCGUCCAUGGUAGUUUUUUACUCCAAACUUACCAAAAGAAAUCUAAUCUAGAACCAACCACAAAAACCAAAUUCUCAACGGUGGAUGUCUUGGUUCCCACAACGAUGAAGAACGCAGCGAAGUGCGAUAAGCAGUGCGAAUUGCAGAACCGUGAGUCAUCAGAUUUUUGAACGCAACUGGCGCCGUGUGGGGUCACCCACCGGCACGCCUGGUCCAGUGUCUUAUUUUCUCAUCACCAAAAUCAUAAUGCAAGAGAUACCCUUCUCUUGUUAAGCAUGAAAGCACUCUGCGACUGCGAGCAGCCUUUUAGGUUGCACUCAAUGCAGCUGUCACAUUUUCUAAUGUGAACUCAUUGAGAGUGGAAGCAGUGCAGCGUAAGCUGCCAGUGUUUAGACAAUCAAACUUUGAUUUUGUAUCUGGGCUCAGGUGGGACCACCCGCUGAACUUAAGCAUAUCAAUAAGCGGAG
rnacentral:rRNA from 1 species